rnacentral:lncRNA from 1 species
AUUCACCAUAGCAUGGUGAUGGAAGAUCCAGAAUGAGUUUUUCAGUUUUAAGUGCAAGCAAUAGGAAAAGCACUGAGAGGGAUGCUCACCUAUUUCAAGACCCAAAAUGCAAGGAAUUGAUACAAAUGAUGACCAUAUGCUGCUAGAAAAUGCAGAAUGAUUAUUCUAGCUUGAAGUGCAAGCAAUAGGAAAAGCACUGAGAGGGAUGCUCACCUAUUUCAAGACCCAAAAUGCAAGGAAUUGAUACAAAUGAUGACCAUAUGCUGCUAGAAAAUGCAGAAUGAUUAUUCUAGCUUGAAGUGCAAGCAAUAGGAAAAGCACUGAGAGGGAUGCUCACCUAUUUCAAGACCCAAAAUGCAAGGAAUUGAUACAAAUGAUGACCAUAUGCUGCUAGAAAAUGCAGAAUGAUUAUUCUAGCUUGAAGUGCAAGCAAUAAGAAAAACACCGUGAGAGAUGCUCAAGUUCUAUUUCAAGAUUGGAAAUGCAAGGA